rnacentral:lncRNA from 1 species
UAAAAUCCUCAAAUAAUGAGAUUACAGAAUUAACUAUGCAUGAUUUUUAUGCAUGAUUUAUUACUCCGAGAUGAUAUUAGAUAAUUACUACUAUUAAUCCUCGCUAUCAGAUCAAAUAAAUACCAACUAGGUUUCAUCUUGCGUGGUUGAGUAAUUAACUAAAAUAAUCUGUUCGCCUCAGGUGUUCUAACCCACUAAUUAAAUAAAUCCAUCCUUCGUGGUCGUUACUAAGAUAUAACUAAUUCGGCUUAUUCGCUGAAUAACCUCAUAAAAUCUCUCGGGCUUAAUAAAUAGGAAUAGAAAUAAUAUAAUAAGUUCAAAUAAUUAAAAGGCUCAACAUAAGACAGCCUAAUAAUUAAUCAAACAAAUAUGGGCUUGAUUUUAAAUAAAUCGUGGCAUUCCAAUAAU